GCGUCGGUAGUGCAAUUGGUUAGCAAGCGCUUCCAGAACAGGUAAAAUGCGGGUUUGAUUCCCGACUGACGUU